CUAUAUUGUUAGGUACGACCCAUUGCCCCGACUCAAAGACAAUCAAACUAGAACCCUUACGGUCGACUAAAGAUUCGUAAAGGGCGCUGUAUAAUGAGAGAUUAAGUAUCCUUGAACACAAGUUCUAGGCUUGAUUUUAUAACCAGGGAAGUUUUGAACUUAGAUCUAUUCGAUCGAUUCCUCUUGCUUCCCAGUGGACAAUUCUGCAGGAAAAAGCUUACUGAACACUGAAGACGAGACUUCUUUCAUCAUAACACUGAGUUCAUUUGGUCGUCAAAGUCAGAAGCUGGAGAUUGGAACACGAAAGCAAGUGGAUCCCAGAAAAGAACGUGUAUAAAAUCUUUCAAUCCUAUUACGCAGGCUUCUUACAGACAGAGCAUUCUAGAAGUGUUCAUUUUAUUCUGUUUGGGUCUUCUAUAUGAUAUAUAAAUGGAGUAUUAAAGUUGUGGGUGUUGAGAGUCUGGUUUGGAAAGAAUUUUUUUAAAAACCUUUGAAGAAUUGAGAAGAUAAAGAUGAUAUGAAAAGAAAAAAAAUUAAUGGGCCAAAAAGAAGAAAGCAAUGUACUCUGCCAAAAAAGCAUGCAUUAAUAAGAUACAUAAUACCAUUUUUUUUCAAUUGAGGUUUCAAUGUAAAAUGCCUCAAGCAAUUUCCUAGAAAGCAUAGAAAGAUAAAAAAAGGUAUUAUGAAGUGUGGUGGAUAUCAAAAAUAAGAAGAGAACCGAGUCACUUUUCUCGUGCUAGCUUCAAUGUUCUUUGAUGACAGAGGGUCUGGUUUGUUCAAAUGAAAAUGACAUCAACUUAUCGCCUAAAAUAGCUCAGUCAAGUGAUUGUCUCAUCAGACACAAUUGGAAGUAAAACAGAUACUGCUUCAAUAAAGAAGAAUUAAAUUAUCUGACUAUAGGCAAAUGUGAUAAAAACCGAAGACAAUUGGAUUCGAGUUUGGUCUAGAAUAUUUUCACGAAUGAAAUAUCCCUCCGCGCGCUAAUGGCUUAUCCAUUUUUUAACAACAAGCACACAAUUCCUACUCUCAGCCAUUGUUUCCAGCAUGACACUGUGACUGUUCUGAGCUGUACAAAAUGUCAAAACGAAACGCUCCUGCUUAACAUGACAAAAGCAACAGCUAGUCAAAAAUAAUUUGUCUAGCGUGACAGCUAUAGUUCAGCAGAGUAACUUAAACCAUGACAGUACUUAUGAACCUCGAGAAGGGCAAUUACCAAAUGUUUCGUAUACAGUCAAUGAUGUCACGCAACAUGUCAGCAAGAGGCAUAAGAUGUCACAAAGUAAACAUGUCCUUUCAGACACAUUCGCGGUCCAAAAAUAACCAAGUUCCUGUAAAAACACUCAAGAAUUCGUAGAUUUGAUGUAGGUUUUAGGGAACAUACAGAUGAGUUUAUUUAGCUAUACGAGACACCAUUGUGCUAUGACAACCAAACGUCCAACCACUUGACAUCAGAGAAUUGUUCAUUUAAGAAAAGGCAGGUUUAAAGGUUUUUAUUGAUGAUAAAGUGUGAUAAAGGACAAGUUGGUUCGUGUCGUGAGACCACAGCGCCCACAGAAACCCCAAAUCACAGACAAAACGAACGGGCGAUGUUUGUUUUUAUACUUAGUUUGCGGGAAAAUUUUGUCUGUUUUUGUUCAAUCUGCUCUUUGAGAAACAGCUUAAGAUGAUGUUACUAUAAACUUAUACAUGGUCCUAAUUGAAGCAAAGAGAAAGCGAUCUUGCUCCAUUGUAUUGGAUUUCCAAUAACCCAAAGAGGUUAACUUCGUAUUGAUGUAAGUAGCUAGAGGGGAUUUAGCUAGCUCGCGGACAUCGUCCCUUGUUCAACUUCUAUGCCAGAAAAAAACGAAAGCAAAUAAGGAAUCAGUCAACCUAACAUAAGUACAUCGCAUGGCUUGACAAAGAAACAAUGGAAUAAUUGUUAUAUUGAUUGAAACGUAUCAAGAGGAAUGCAACUAAAAACUGUCGCUUUCUAUUCAUCAACAUAUGCGUUUCGUAGCGCGACUGAUAACAAGUUGAAUCCGGAGAAUCAAUAAUUAGGGUUGUUAUAUUUAAUGCGUUAGUUAGAACUGUCAAAGGCCAAGGACUUGCAUAGUUUGUUAGCUUUUUUCUUUGCGUUGCGUGAUCCCCGAACAAGUUCCAAAGUAUAAAAUAGUCCCUAAAUACAGAAAUAACCAGUAAACAUUUCAAGGGAUGGAUGACAAAAGCCAAACUACCGACCGAGACACAAAUCAAUCUAUGAAAAUUGGACAAACUCAUAUGCAUAUUUCUGAGACAAUGUUGAAACAGACCGAAGCACGCAAGAUUUUAGUAGGACACGCAAUCCAAAAUUUCUUCUCAUCGGUAGAAAAGUUGUAUAAGAACUGCAAAGAUAAUUAAACUAGGCCGUUCUCGAGGUGCAAUCGCCGUUUGAUUUAAAUUGAAUCGCGACAUGGUCCGUAAAGAGGACCUUCGCAAAGAUGAGUUCAAUAGGUCGGCGAUUGUGUAAUAAAACGAACAGUACAGCUGUGUUUAACCCGAAACCUCAUCACAUAAAUUUGUGGCUUAUUCCUGCCAGAAAAAUCCCUGGUCCAACUCGUUGAGUCGGUGAGCCUAUCUUUGAGAAAAGAAUUCCCUUUAUUGUUGGAAUUUUUAGAAAGUCAAUAAAUUCUAACCAAACAUU